rnacentral:tRNA from 1 species
GCCAGGAUAGCUCAGUUGAAAGAGUGUUAGACUGAAGAUCUAAAAAUUCCUGGCA